CACGUAGGCGGCCUGGUAAGUCAGAUGUGAAAGCCCGGGGCUUAACCUCGGAAGUGCAUUUGAUACUGUCAGGCUUGAGUAUGGGAGAGGGAAGUGGAAUUCCUGGUGUAGAGGUGAAAUUCGUAGAUAUCAGGAGGAACACCGGUGGCGAAGGCGACUUCCUGGACCAAUACUGACGCUGAGGUGCGAAGGCGUGGGUAGCAAACA
rnacentral:rRNA from 1 species